GCUCGUUGUGCUGCCAGAAGGAGAAGCUGGUGCCCUCGGUACCUGUGUGCUGGCGCGGUAAUUGUGUAUAUUUCUGCAAUGUGACCCAUACACAAAGUGUGUUCUCAUAUUCCGUUGCUGUUCCUCGGAAGUGGUCUAGCAGACAUGAAGAAAUAUGUGGAAUGCUUGUAAAGAAAUAGUGGGAAGGUUCUGAGUAUGCAAGUGCAUAGCAAAUGCAAAUUCGAAUUCUUUUUCCCCUGACUAUAAAGCUUAUUCAGGCUGGAAGCUCAAAAGCAGCAUGGCCAGCAGGGCAAGGGAGGGAGUUCUGCCCCCCUGCUCUGCUGAGAGCCCCCCUGCAGUGCAGCACUAAAAGGGUGUGGAGCUGUUGGAGCGAGUCCGGAGGAGGACCAUGGACAAGCUCAGAGGGUUGGAGCUCCUCUCCUGUCAAGAGAGGCUGGGAGGAUUGGGUUUUUCAGCCUGGAGAAGGUUCAGGGGAGACCUUACCUGCAGCCAUUCAGCACCUAAAAGGGGCUACAAGAGAGCUGCCAAGGGAUUUUUUACAAGGGCCUGUAGCAACAGACCAAGGGGACAUGGCUUUAAACUGAAAGAGGGUAGGUUUAUAUUAGACACUAGGAAGAAGUUCUCUACUCUGGGGAUGGUGAGGCACUGGCAGAAGUUCUCCAGAAAAGGUGUGGAUGCCCCAUCCCUGGAAUUGUUCAAGGCCAUGUUUGGUGGGACUCUAAACAACCUGAUCCAGUGGAAGGUGUCCCUGCCUGUGGCAGAGGUGCUGGAACUAGAACCCCUUCCAACCCAAACUGUUCUAUGAUUCUGUGAGUCAGCUGUCCUGGCCAAGCUCCCUCCCAGCUUUCCAUGCACUUCCUCACUGGCAGAGCAUGAGACACAGAAAAGUCCUUGACUAAGGGGAACACUUCAUAACCUGUCUUGAAGAUGUUGGUCUGAAGAUUUGUAAAGUCAAGAGCUGCUGAGAGUGGAGGCAAGAAGGCAUUUGAGAGACCCAGAGAAGUUACCAGGGAAGAACCUUUUUUUUUUGCCUUACAUUUAAAUCAGGGACAAAAUAAGAAUCUUCCAGAAUCCAGGUCAGUUUUAUUUUGUGAACUGCAACAACAAGUGAAAGCAUCAGCCCCUACGCUGACAAGCCAAGAAUGUGAAAUUUCUAUAAUUGCAGCAAUGGGCACAGUAAAACAAGAGUACAGACAAUUCCAGUUUGCACAAAGUGAAUGGAAGUUUGUUUCCCAUAGUGCAGCAGGCCCCAUUGUUGUGAUGAGACAUCACAGCUGAUGUGAAGCCCAGAACUUAUUUCACGUUCCAGCAUUAGCAGCAAACAGUAUUGUGAGCUUCUUCCAGCCUGCUCAGAAGCUUGGAGGAUGCUUGAAUGUGGAAACUGCUAAAUUUCCUCAAAAGUUUAAAUAAAUGGAUACAUUUAAGUAACUGUAAUAUAAUUUAUUUCAAAAACAUCUGGGAAAGGAACUGGGUGAU